rnacentral:rRNA from 1 species
UACGGGGGGGGUAAGCGUUGUUCGGAAUUACUGGGCGUAAAGCGUGCGCAGGCGGUUGUGCAAGACAGAUGUGAAAUCCCCGGGCUUAACCUGGGAACUGCAUUUGUGACUGCACGGCUAGAGUGUGUCAGAGGGGGGUAGAAUUCCACGUGUAGCAGUGAAAUGCGUAGAUAUGUGGAGGAAUACCGAUGGCGAAGGCAGCCCCCUGGGAUAACACUGACGCUCAUGCACGAAAGCGUGGGGAGCAAACAGG